rnacentral:rRNA from 1 species
AUUGAACGCUGGCGGCAGGCCUAACACAUGCAAGUCGAACGAGUGGCGGACGGGUGAGUAAUGUCUGGGAAACCGCCUGAUGGAGGGGGAUAACUACUGGAAACGGUAGCUAAUACCGCAUACCAUCAGAUGUGCCCAGAUUGGAUGAGCUUGUUGGUGGGGUAACGGCUCACAAAGGCGACGACCCCUAGCUGGUCUGAGAGGAGGACCAGCAACACUGGAACUGAGACACGGUCCAGACUCCUACGGGAGGCAGCAGUGGGGAAUAUUGCACAAGGGGCGCAAGCCGGAUGCAGCCAUGCCGCGGGUAUGAAGAAGGCCUUCGGGUUGUAAAGAACUUUCAGCGGGGAGGCGUUACCCGCAGAAGAAGCACCGGCUAACUCCGUGCCAGCAGCCGCGGUAAUAC